CCUACGGGAGGCAGCAGUGAGGAAUAUUGGUCAAUGGACGAGAGUCUGAACCAGCCAAGUAGCGUGAAGGAUGACUGCCCUAUGGGUUGUAAACUUCUUUUAUAUGGGAAUAAAACGUUCCACGUGUGGGAUUUUGUAUGUACCAUAUGAAUAAGGAUCGGCUAACUCCGUGCCAGCAGCCGCGGUAAUACGGAGGAUCCGAGCGUUAUCCGGAUUUAUUGGGUUUAAAGGGAGCGUAGGUGGAUUGUUAAGUCAGUUGUGAAAGUUUGCGGCUCAACCGUAAAAUUGCAGUUGAAACUGGCAGUCUUGAGUACAGUAGAGGUGAGCGGAAUUCGUGGUGUAGCGGUGAAAUGCUUAGAUAUCACGAAGAACUCCGAUUGCGAAGGUAGUUCACUGGACUGCAACUGACACUGAGGCUCGAAAGUGUGGGUAUCAAACAGGAUUAGAUACCCCGGUAGUC
rnacentral:rRNA from 1 species